rnacentral:miRNA from 1 species
UCGUUAAAAUGCCUGUGACCUUAUG